UAGUCCACGCCGUAAACAAUGAGCACUAGUUAUAGCGGGUAUUAACCCCUGCUGUGACGUAGCUAACGCAUUAAGUGCUCCGCCUGGGGAGUACGGUCGCAAGACUAAAACUCAAAGGAAUUGACGGGGGCCCGCACAAGCGGUGGAUUAUGUGGUUUAAUUCGAAGCAACGCGCAGAACCUUACCUGGGCUUGAAAUCCGGAGAAUUUUCUAGAGAUAGAGAAGUGCCCUUCGGGGAAUUCCGUGACAGGCGCUGCAUGGCUGUCGUCAGCUCGUGUUGUGAAAUGUUGGGUUAAGUCUCGCAACGAGCGCAACCCUCGUCCUUAGUUGCUACCAUUUAGUUGGGCACUUUAAGGAAACUGCCGGUGAUAAGCCGGAGGAAGGUGGGGGAUGACGUCAAGUCCUCAUGGCCCUUACAAGCUGGGCUACACACGUGCUACAAUGGCGAUGACAGUGGGCAGCGACCCCGCAAGGGUGAGCUAAUCUCCAAAAGUCGUCUCAGUUCGGAUUGCUCU
rnacentral:rRNA from 1 species